GACGAACGCUGGCGGCGGGCUUAACACAUGCAAGUCGAACGGAAAGGCCCUGCUUUUGUGGGGUGCUCGAGUGGCGAACGGGUGAGUAACACGUGAGUAACCUGCCCUUGACUUUGGGAUAACUUCAGGAAACUGGGGCUAAUACCGGAUAGGAGCUCCUGCUGCAUGGUGGGGGUUGGAAAGUUUCGGCGGUUGGGGAUGGACUCGCGGCUUAUCAGCUUGUUGGUGGGGUAGUGGCUUACCAAGGCUUUGACGGGUAGCCGGCCUGAGAGGGUGACCGGCCACAUUGGGACUGAGAUACGGCCCAGACUCCUACGUGAGACAGCGGUGGGGAAUCUUACACAAUGGGCGGAAGCCUGAUGCAGCAACGCCGCGUGCGGAAUGACGGCCUUCUGGUUGUAAACCGCUUUCGCCUGUGACGAAGCGUGAGUGACGGUAAUGGGUAAAGAAGCACCGGCUAACUACGUG
rnacentral:rRNA from 1 species